rnacentral:rRNA from 1 species
UACAGAGGGCGCGAGCGUUGUCCGGAAUCACUGGGCGUAAAGGGCGCGUAGGUGGCCACUAUAAGGCCGCGGUGAAAGUUCGGGGCUCAACCCUGAAUCUGCCGCGGCGAGUGUAGGGCUAGGGCACCGUAGAGGCAGAUGGAAUUCCGGGUGUAGCGGUGGAAUGCGUAGAGAUCCGGAGGAACACCGGUGGCGAAGGCGGGUCUCUGGGCAGUAAAUGACGCUGAGGAGCGAAAGCGUGGGGAGCGAACAGG